rnacentral:lncRNA from 1 species
UUGCUGGGAGCCACAAUCAUAUUGGCCAUGCACGAAACCACUCAUCUAGGUCAAGAGUCAUUUGAAAAAUUGUUAGGCUAGUACUUCUACAUCUCACACUUGCCAACCUUUGCCAGAGCAGUAGCACAACGGUGCGUUACUUGCCGACAGCAUAAUGCGAGGCGAGGCCCCACUCUUCCACCUGGCAUACAAGCUUACAGAAUGGCUCCUUUUGAGGAUCUUCAAGUGGAUUUCACAGAAAUGCCAAAAUGUGGAGAUCUUAUUCCUAGGUUUGGACUGCCCUUACUAAUCAGCUCAGAUAACAGACCGGCAUUUGUGGGUGACUUGGUACAGAAGAGAGCAAAGGCAUUAGGAAUCACUUGGAAGCUACAUGCCACCUACCGACCUCAGAGUUCCAGAAAGGUGAAGCAAAUAAAUUGGACUAUCAAAAAUAAUUUAGGGAAAGUAUGUCAGGAAACAGGAUUAAAGUGGAUAAGG